CCAGUUGUGUCCGAGUGGAUAAUGAGACUAACUGGUGAUCAGAAGGUUGCUGGUUCAAUCCCCAGCUCAAUUGGG